GGUUCUUGUAGAAGAAAGAAGAAAAGCUUUGAAAAGUGCUAGCUCCGUGCUUUGUGAAAAACCGGCUGAUGAAUCUUUUUCACAGCAAUAUAACUGCAUUACCCGCUCAAUGAACCACCGUCAAAAGCAUUCUAGGAUCCCAAGAUUUAUUCCAGGAGCUUUUCUUGACAAAUCCACUUUUCGUUUGCUUUGCCAUUCAUUUGAUGCUACUUCUCCAAGUAAACUGUUCCAAUUAACUUAUUUAUUUGCUUUUUGGCCUAUGACUUUGUUUUGUUUAUUCCCUGAGCAAAUUUGAUAUUAAAAAUGGUGUGCUAUCACUACUCGUGCAUCUCACGUUGAAAGCUCGUUCACUGUCUUGCUUCUGUUGUAUGAUAUUGAUUAAAAUUUUCAGU
rnacentral:misc_RNA from 1 species